AUUGAACGCUGGCGGCAUGCUUUACACAUGCAAGUCGAACGGCAGCGCGGGCUUCGGCCUGGCGGCGAGUGGCGAACGGGUGAGUAAUACAUCGGAACGUGCCCAGUAGUGGGGGAUAGCUCGGCGAAAGCCGGAUUAAUACCGCAUACGACCUGAGGGUGAAAGCGGGGGAUCUUCGGACCUCGCGCUAUUGGAGCGGCCGAUGGCAGAUUAGCUGGUUGGUGGGGUAAAGGCCUACCAAGGCGACGAUCUGUAGCUGGUCUGAGAGGACGACCAGCCACACUGGGACUGAGACACGGCCCAGACUCCUACGGGAGGCAGCAGUGGGGAAUUUUGGACAAAGGGCGAAAGCCUGAUCCAGCAAUGCCGCGUGUGUGAUGAAGGCCUUCGGGUUGUAAAGCACUUUUGGCGGGAACGAAAAGGACUGUGCCAAUACCACGGUUCGAUGACGGUACCCGCAGAAUAAGCACCGGCUAACUACGUG
rnacentral:rRNA from 1 species